UUUGCUUUUCUUAUAUUGCACACCCUUUUAAAAGUCUUUUCCAUCUCUGCACUCCAUUUUUACUUUCUAUAAUAUUAUUUAUUAUUAUAAAAGAGCUGCAACUCUGCCCAUCUCAAGCUGAGCUCAGUAAAGUAAGGAAUAAUGUGGGAAACCUCCUGGCCCCAGGAGCCACCAAAUCAGUUUUGCGUGAAUCACCACCAGAUGACCUGAUCUGCAAGCUUCUCUGUGUACAUCCUGUAGUGUGGGGUAUCUGACAAUUGGCAAGAAUCGAAGCAUUAUACACACAGCUGAUUGAAGUCACCUCCCCAUAGACUUUGAUGUGUGGGGGCCCUGAAGGGCUGGUAAACAAGAUGUUCCACUUGACACCCUGCAUGGUCUGUGCUAAAAGAACCAUGUCAUUAAGAAAGUGACUCACAAAUUGCUGUUCCUAGAUGCAGCCUUCAAGAAGAGAGCUCUGAAAGAAUGGUGGCUGCAGUAGAACACCUCCACUCCCUUCCGUCCUCAAUUUCUUGCCACAUUCUUCUGAGAAAUAUGACAAGUUGAAAUAGUAGAUGAGAGUGGAGAAGUUUCCAGAUGACUUCCACACAGGCAAUGAUCCCAUCUCAGUCCUCGCAGCAUCCCCUUUUCGGCGGACACAACAUCUUUGUUUGUAUGUGGUGCUGAGGAUCGAACCCGGGCUGCAUGCAUGCCAGAUCCAAAGCUUCCUGUCUUAUGAAGAGAACACUCCCAUGCAAGCUAUCUGAGUCUUCCAUCUCUUCAUCACUUGUAGAAUUUCUUUUGUUUCUGCUGGGUGCCCUGUCUCAUGUUCAGAUUCUCUCUGAUAGGAUUUUGGCAUUUUAUUUUCAUAUGCUUCAAAAUCCAGUGAAUUGGGAGAGGACUGUUUGGUUAUUCGAUUAUCAACAAAGAUGACAAGAAAUAAUGGAGCCAUUCCAUAGCUUGUUCUUACCCUCCUCCUGUCUGAUCGGAUUUCCAGAGGCCAUUCUUGAUACAUUUGGUUUUUACACAUGAAAUCAGCAAUAGUUCCAAACUGUCAUGUGCUAUAUAUUUCUUUCAGUCUGAAGCCCUUUCUUGGAUCUUGAAAGCUAAGUACCAGAAAGUAUCUAUGGAAUAAUUGUAUCAUAUCAGAACUCAAAGUUCCCAUUCUGUCUUCCUGUCCCCAUGGAGAUGUUUGCACAUAGAUUGGACACUUCCACCUGCAUAAACAAAAUUAUAGUACUGGUAUAUUUUGAUAGCCCUCAAAUACCUUUUCUUCUUCCUGAAACUCCUUGUGCUGAGGUAUAGGCUGUAUUUCCUGUAUUUUAGUAAUUUUAAGAAACAAUAUUCAUAUCAAUAUUUGUAUUUAAAUCUACUCU